GAUUCAUGAUAACUCCUCGAAUCGCAUGGCCUUGUGCCGGCGAUGGUUCAUUCAAAUUUCUUCCCUAUCAACUUUCGAUGUUUGGGUAUUGGCCAAACAUGGUUGCAACGGGUAACGGAGGGUUAGGGCUCGACCCCGGAGAAGGAGCCCGAGAAACGGCUACUACAUCCAAGGAAGGCAGCAGGCGCGCAAAUUACCCAAUCCCGACACGGGGAGGUAGUGACAAUAAAUACUGAUACAGGGCUCUUUUGGGUCUUGUAAUUGGAAUGAGUACAAUUUAAAUCCCUUAACGAGGAACAAUUGGAGGGCAAGUCUGGUGCCAGCAGCCGCGGUAAUUCCAGCUCCAAUAGCGUAUAUUAAAGUUGUUGUGGUUAAAAAGCUCGUAGUUGAACCUUGGGCCUGGCUGGCCGGUCCGCCUCACCGCGUGUACUGGUCCGGCCGGGCCUUUCCCUCUGUGGAACCCCAUGCCCUUCACUGGGUGUGGCGGGGAACCAGGACUUUUAC
rnacentral:rRNA from 1 species